GACGAACGCUGGCGGCGUGCUUAACACAUGCAAGUCGAACGGAAAGGCCCUGAUUGCAGGGUACUCGAGUGGCGAACGGGUGAGUAACACGUGGGUGAUCUGCCCUGCACUUCGGGAUAAGAUUGGGAAACUGGGUCUAAUACCGGAUAGGAGCCAUCUUUAGUGUGGUGGUUGGAAAGUUUUUUCGGUGUAGGAUGAGCUCGCGGCCUAUCAGCUUGCUGGUGGGGUAAUGGCCUACCAAGGCGGCGACGGGUAGCCGGCCUGAGAGGGUGUACGGCCACAUUGGGACUGAGAUACGGCCCAGACUCCGACGUGAGGCAGCAGUGGGGAAUAUUGCACAAUGGGCGCAAGCCUGAUGCAGCGACGCCGCGUGGGGGAUGAAGGCCUUCGGGUUGUAAACUCCUUUCGCUAGGGACGAAGCUUUUUUGUGACGGUACCUAGAUAAGAAGCACCGGCUAACUACGUG
rnacentral:rRNA from 1 species